rnacentral:rRNA from 1 species
GACGAACGCUGGCGGCGUGCUUAACACAUGCAAGUCGAAUGAUGAACCCGGAGCUUGCUCCGGCGGAUUAGUGGCGAACGGGUGAGUAACACGUGAGUAACCUGCCCUUGACUCUGGGAUAACUGCUAGAAAUGGUAGCUAAUACCGGAUACGACCCUCGGCGGCAUCGCCAGGGGGUGGAAAGAAUUUCGGUCAAGGAUGGACUCGCGGCCUAUCAGCUAGUUGGUGAGGUAACGGCUCACCAAGGCGACGACGGGUAGCCGGCCUGAGAGGGUGACCGGCCACACUGGGACUGAGACACAGCCCAGACUCCUACGGGAGGCAGCAGUGGGGAAUAUUGCACAAUGGGCGCAAGCCUGAUGCAACAACGCCGCGUGAGGGAUGACGGCCUUCGGGUUGUAAACCUCUUUUAGUAGGGAAGAAGCGAAAGUGACGGUACCUGCAGAAAAAGCACCGGCUAACUACGUGCCAGCCGCCGCGGUAA